rnacentral:misc_RNA from 1 species
UUUGACGCUUUAAGAGAAAUGUUAUUUUAAAGUUUGUUCUGCUAAGUGAACAGUUCGAUAUUAGAAAGUGCAAGAUAUUACAUACAUAGUUAUAUAAUUAAAUUCAAAUGGCUACUACCUCAUCUAAUGUUCGUGUUCGAUCUAAAACCCUAAUUUAUUUAAUUGGGUAUUCAUCUCAUCAAAUAAUCGGGAGUAAACUGCUAUCUAAUCAUCAAGUGUUAAUGUGUUACAACAUUCGUGAAGUUGGAUUGCCUUUUAGUGAUGCUGCAAAACUCACUCUGACGGAAGUUCUUGUGUUCUGAGAGAAAGCUAGAAUACCUUAUCAAUUACAAAAAAAUGCUGUUCGCAAAGUCGAAAAAUUAUUUAACGAAUGGAGGGCACUUCAGAAGUGUUCAAGAUUGAAGACAAAACGUCAAGAGGAAAAAAAUCUUGCAUUCACAUCCAAACUGUCCGAUCUUUUUGAUGUAGCAGUGGAAGAUGUCAUUUCAAAAAUGUCUAAUCAGGAAGAUAUUAAAUUUUUGACAUAUCAGAGAAUGAAAGGACGUCCAGGCCAUAUGGAAGGUAUAUACUCAAACCCAUACUUAAAUAGAAAAUGUACGAGACAUCUCAUUGUCUUCAGAAUCAGAAGUGGAACAAAUCACCUCGGACGAAGUAUUUACCGAUGAUAAAAAAGCCAGCAAAGCGGAGACAGCGAGUAAAAAAAGGAAAUACAGUCGUGGUUAUAAAGAAGUAAUGACGGAAAAGUUAUCAAUUUUGGUAGAUAGGUGCAAAAUUUGUGAUAGAAAUGCUGUGCGAAUAAUUUUCUCAACAGCUGAAAGUCUGGACUGUAAUGUCGAGGAAUCUGCACUUAGUAGAAGUGCUUUAAGAAAACGCAGAAUAUCCUUUCGAAGUCAACGGGCCCAGAAAAUCAAGGCGAGGUUUAAAAACUUAGACUUAGAGGGUAUUGUUGUUCAUUGGAAUGGAAAACUUUUACCAAACCUUCUCCAGAAAGAAUGUGCUGAACGGUUGGCAAUCUUGGUAAGCAAAGGAGACUAUGAACAACUACUGGGGGUCCCGGAAUUAGAAAAUUCCACAGGCGCCAGUCAGGCAGAAGCUGUUAGCGGUAGUCUAGAAGAAUGGGAUAUUGGCGAUAAAAUUGUUGGUAUGUGCUUUGAUACGACGGCUUCCAACACAGGACGAAUGAAAGGCGCAUGCACCUUGUUAGAAAAACAGCUAGGUAAAAGUUUGUUGUACUUAGCCUGCCGCCAUCACAUUUUAGAAGUCGUUUUACGGUUAGUAUUUGAGUACAAAAUGGGAUCAACGACUGCUCCCCAACCUGACAUUUUUAGAAGAUUUCAAAUACUUUGGCCUAACAUAGAUCGGUCUAAAUACAUUGAAGGGGUACAAGAUGAUUUGGUAAAGAUGUCAGUGAAAGAGUUCGAAAAAGAGGUUUCGGAAUUUCUUCUCUUUCAGUUAACUGAAAAACAGCCGAGGGAUGAUUACUUAGAACUUAUUAAGUUAUGUUUAAUAUUUUUAGGAAAAGUCCCUUCUCACGAUGUUUCGUUAAACACUCCUGGUCCUUAUCAUCACGCCCGUUGGAUGGCACAAUUUACUCUCUGAAAAUGUUCAUUUUUAGAGAACAGUUUUCUAUGUCCGAAGAGGAGUUCAGUUCACUAAAAGCUAUUUGUUUAUUUAUUGUUAAUUUGUAUGUGAAGAUGUGGUGUCAAGCUUCAAACGUAAUAAGUGCACCUAGUAAUGAUUUACAAUUUGUUCAGAAUGUAAUUAAGUACAGACGCAUUGAUCAAGGUGUAUCAGAAAAGGUAUUGGGAAAAUAUUUACUUCACCUGUGGUAUCUGAACCCGGAACUGAUUUACCUUAGCUUAUUUGACAAAAAUGUUUUAAAUGAAAUAAAAAGAAAAAUGGCAAAAAAGAUUUUAUCGUAAAGUAAUUUAACAGAAGAAGAACGGUCUUCAAGGAUAAUGAGGGUGCAAGUUUCUGAAAAUGAAGCUGUAAACCUAUUUAAAAAUAUUUCGCUUCAGAACUUUGUUUCGGAUCAAAGCCUGGCCUUUUUCGAAAAUAUUUCAAAGUCAAAACUGAUUUUUUGACAGAGGACCCCUAGAAAUGGUCCGAAAAUAAAGACUUUUUAAAACUUCAAAGUUUUGUUAGGAGUAUGAAGGUAGUAAACGACACGGCAGAGAGAGGGGUUAAGUUAAUUCAAGACUUCAAUAGUAUUCUUACAAAAUAUGAGGAGCAAAAACAAUUCCUGCUUCAGGUGGGAGCGGAUUGUCGUCGGCUUUACCCUGAUACUUCCAAAAGUACCCUUUCUCUACCCUUAUCUGAUGAAUGAUAUAGGAAAUAAUAAUAUGUAUAUAAAUAAAUUGAUAAAUUUUUUAUAAUUUUUGUUUUUAGUAUGAAU